rnacentral:rRNA from 1 species
CGUACGUGGAGAACCUGCCGUAUACUGGGGGAUAACACUUAGAAAUAGGUGCUAAUACCGCAUAAGCGCACAGCUUCGCAUGAAGCAGUGUGGAAAACAAAAAGCUAAAGCUUUUGGUGGUAUACGAUGGAUCCGCGUCUGAUUAGCUAGUUGGCGGGGUAAAGGCCCACCAAGGCGACGAUCAGUAGCCGGCCUGAGAGGGUGAACGGCCACAUUGGGACUGAGACACGGCCCAAACUCCUACGGGAGGCAGCAG